CCAUUUUCGCCAUGUUAUUACUGUUGCAUUGUAUGGGGAGUGAAAAGGCCAUUAUGUGGUCACCAUUUCUAUCCCUGAUUAUGCCCCCAAUGUCAUCCUCUCUUGUAUCAAAAUUGAAGCUUCCAUUAAUAUUUACUUUGACGCUAUCACCUUGCAGUAGUUGGAUUGUACCUACUUAGUUCCUUUCACUGGCUGAAACUUUCCAAUCAGUUCACAAAGAUCAGUCCACUUCAAUUUGUAUUUGAGUUGGCCAUACAAUCUGAACAAAGCAAACUUAUUAGAUUAGGCACUUUGAUGCUCCAUCCUUGUAUAGUGAAAAGUUCUUUUAACCCCUCCCUAUAUUUGCACACAUAUCCUUGUUUCCAAAUUUCAUAGCAUAUAAAGAUAGGGGUAGACUUCAAAAUCAUCUCUUUAAUAUUAUUUGAUCAGUGGUCCAUCAUCUAUAUAGCACCGAAAUAAUACGUUCAUCUCGAUGGUGUUGAAUUCUCAGAGGGUCUCCACAACCUACUAACUCCUUCACUAUUAAUCAAAACAUGUUGCAUUAUCUCACUUUGUGUUAUCCUGCAACAAGAGCACUCAUCAAGGAAAAUUAGUGCCACAAAUGUUAAUUGUAUCCUUAAGUGAAAUUUUCUUUUAAAUCAGCCUCCAAUUAAGAAAAGAGACUUUAAAGGAUUCUAGCAUGCCAAACAUUUGGAGAAGGUUAUUUCUAUGAUUGAGUUUCUUAAUAAGCUGCCAACCGGAUUUAGUAAAGAAAGUACCAUCUUCUGUUGAUUCCUAGAUGCGAAAAUCAAGAUCUCUAAUAUCCCCAAUAUCAAUAUUUCUAAUAUCUUCAACAAUAUGAUUAGGAAAAGUAACAUUAAGUUUAUCAAAAUUUCACAUAUUAUCUUUGAUAAAAGACUUGACAAGGAGUUUAGACUUGACAGGGAGUUUAACAGACGUACCAGUCCAGGGUCAAAAUUAGCAAGAGCACCUUUACUUGUCCAAUUGUCCCACUCAAAGCUCGAAUUGUCGGCUUGAAUCUUCCAUAAAAUAUUUGUUU
rnacentral:lncRNA from 1 species